GUCUCUUUUUUGUAUUUGCAAGAUACAUGACCAGAAUUUCUCUUUGAAUCUCUUAAAAAAAACCUUUUCAAUUAACUUCUAUUUGUAUGUCUUAAGCGGCCUGAUCUUUUUUAAUCCCUUUCUCAAGCAGUUUCUUUUUCUGUCUUUGUAUCUACAUAAAUAGGCUGACCUUUCCGUUUAUCCGUGAAUUGUUACAUUCGCAAAAUUCUGACAGUUGAAGAAAUUCUUAGCGACAGAUAAACUGAACUAGUGGUAAUCUGCAGUCACUGCAGGCCAUAGGCCUUUUUCCCUUUCUGGCCCAACAGCUUCUGUGGUUCAAACCACUUGCAUAUUAUUUUUUAUUAUAUCAUGCGUUUGUCAAAAAGCACACAACAAAAAGUCCUUAGUAUCCUAAUUUUAGUUUUCCUAGCUUUUUCCCCCCCUUAUCUUUAUGAUUCGGAAAUUAUAUAAUAGGUUGAUAAGAAGUAUGGUAACUCGAAGGUCAAGGUAUGGUUUAGCUGCUAGCAACACCUCCAUUCUAAUGAGGUUUUGAAUUCAAAUCCUCACAUCCCAAACUACCUAAAAGAAAUUGCAGCGAUGGAUGUAUUAUGCAUGUGUCCUUUCAUAUUCUGUGAAGCACUACGUUUGUUCCAUGGGUUUGGU
rnacentral:misc_RNA from 1 species